UACGAAUGUGGCAAGCGUUGUUCGGAAUCACUGGGCAUAAAGCGCACGUAGGUGGUAUAGCAAGUUAAUUCUGAAAUCCCCCGGCUUAACCGAGGAACAGGAGUUAAUACUGCUAUACUAGAGUACAGAAGGGGAGAGUGGAAUUCUUGGUGUAGCGGUGGAAUGCGAAGAUAUCAAGGAGAAGGCCGGUGGCGAAAGCGACUCUCUGGUCUGAUACUGACACUGAGGUGCGAAAGCGUAGGUAGCGAACGGGAUUAGAUACCCCCGUA
rnacentral:rRNA from 1 species